AUUGAACGCUGGCGGCAGGCCUAACACAUGCAAGUCGAGCGAGCGGAGGACGGGUGAGUAAUGUCUGGGAAACUGCCUGCUGGAGGGGGAUAACUACUGGAAACGGUAGCUAAUACCGCAUAACAUAAGACGUGCACAGCUGGGAUUAGCUAGUAGGUGGGGUAACGGCUCACCUAGGCGACGAUCCCUAGCUGGUCUGAGAGGAUGACCAGCCACACUGGAACUAGGACACGGUCCAGACUCCUACGGGAGGCAGGCGUGGGGAAUAUUGCACAAUGGGCGCAAGCCUGAUGCAGCCAUGCCGCGUGUGUGAAGGAGGCCUUCGGGUUGUAAAGCACUUUCAGCGGGGAGGCGUUACCCGCAGAAGAAGCACCGGCUAACUCCGUGCCAACAGCCGCGGUAAUAC
rnacentral:rRNA from 1 species